rnacentral:rRNA from 1 species
GACGAACGCUGGCGGCGUGCUUAACACAUGCAAGUCGAACGGAAAGGCCCUGCUUUUGUGGGGUGCUCGAGUGGCGAACGGGUGAGUAACACGUGAGUAACCUGCCCUUGACUUUGGGAUAACUUCAGGAAACUGGGGCUAAUACCGGAUAGGAGCUCCUGCUGCAUGGUGGGGGUUGGAAAGUUUCGGCGGUUGGGGAUGGACUCGCGGCUUAUCAGCUUGUUGGUGGGGUAGUGGCUUACCAAGGCUUUGACGGGUAGCCGGCCUGAGAGGGUGACCAGCCACAUUGGGACUGAGAUACGGCCCAGACUCCUACGGGAGGCAGCAGUGGGGAAUAUUGCACAAUGGGCGGAAGCCUGAUGCAGCAACGCCGCGUGCGGGAUGACGGCCUUCGGGUUGUAAACCGCUUUCGCUUGUGACGAAGCGUGAGUGACGGUAAUGGGUAAAGAAGCACCGGCUAACUACGUG